UACGAAGGGGGCUAGCGUUGCUCGGAAUCACUGGGCGUAAAGGGUGCGUAGGCGGGUCUUUAAGUCAGGGGUGAAAUCCUGGAGCUCAACUCCAGAACUGCCUUUGAUACUGAAGAUCUUGAGUUCGGGAGAGGUGAGUGGAACUGCGAGUGUAGAGGUGAAAUUCGUAGAUAUUCGCAAGAACACCAGUGGCGAAGGCGGCUCACUGGCCCGAUACUGACGCUGAGGCACGAAAGCG
rnacentral:rRNA from 1 species